rnacentral:lncRNA from 1 species
AUUUAUGACAAUGUUUUUAUUUUUGAUGAAUAUCUGUUUCAUAUUUUCAAUCUACUGUAUAUAUACAUUUCAUAUUUCUUCAUUUUUUUUCUGGUUCUUGCUUUGUUUUCCCCAUAAUAGAGUGAUAAAUUUAAUAUUUCCAUGCAGUAGUUCCUGGAAGCUUUGAUGUUGUUGAGGACAACCUGAAAAAUGCCAAAACUUUUCUUAAUCUUGGUGGCCAUCUUUAAGUUCACUUUUCUUGGGGUCUCAUGGCCAAGUGCUGUAAAUUCCCCCCAGUCCUGAAUUCACUAGUAAUCAGUAACCACAGAUGUUUCACCACAGAUCUCUGGCAUGUAAAUCUGUUUCUGGAGUGGGUUUUCAGAAAUGUAAUCACUGGGACAAUUUUCCCAGAAUACUCAACCAAACACACUAAAAUCAACCAGACACACUGUGAUUGUUACGGUGUCUCAAAACCAGUGGAGUAAAGUAUUGAGCAUUCCUGUGGCAAAGAAAGUAGGAAAAAAAUAUCAGUAGGAGAAACAGAAGGGACUUUAUUUGCUGUACUAAAUAUAUAGGUAAUUUUGUUAAUGUUGUUACCAUCUAUUAUCCAAUAUCACACACCAAAAAAAUAUUUUAAACCUAUUUGGAAAAUAUGUAGCAUUUUUAUUCCUCUAGUGGUACAUAUUUUAUGUCCAUAUUGUCUAUUAAAGUUUAGUUCAAUGCCACCACAUAUAGUGUAGUUAUAAUAUUUUUUCUGUUUUAUUGUCUACCUUUUAAUUUGAAUGCUUAGUGUGUGAGAAUAAAGGUCAUUAAUAUUUACUAUCAUUUUCUAUUUAUUUCCUCUUUUUUGUUUUUCUUGUCUUUUCUGUCAAUUUUCAAGCUAAUUCAUUACUCUUCUAUUUCAUUUUUCUGUCUUUUUAUAUAUAGCACUUUAUUCAUCAUUCAGUGAUUAUGUCAGAUCUGAAAAAUUAUCAAUAUGUAUAUAUCCUUAAGUUUUCAAAGCUUGAGUAGCAUUAAAAUCAGACCUAUUUAGUCUACAUCCUUGACAAGUGAGGCUUUCCUUCUGCUUUUCCUUUUCAUCCUCAAUAUCUUACAUCUCACACUUCAAAAAGGUAAUGAUCUCAUAACAGUGUAUUUCCUAUGCUCAUAUUUUAUCCUUUAGGUGGUGGCAUCAUAUCAUACAUAUUAAUGUUAUAAACUUCAACUCAUGCUAUUAUUUAAGUAGUCAUUUUUUUCAUAUUGAUGUGUACAGAUGAAGUUUUCUUUAUGUUCAUUCUAAUGAAGUUUAUAGGAAUAUGUACAUUGAUAUUUUCCACUGUUAAAGAAAAACUGAAGUCAAAAUGAAUUUAUGGAGUUUGAAUGAGAAGAUCGAUUCAUGAAUCAAACAAUUCAAAACCAAAAGCAGUUCUCAGAGCUCCCCUCUAGUACCAUGACAAUGGGACUUCAAAGCCUAAGGAGAAGCAACAUAAACAAAUUACUUAAUUGACUCUAGCUACUUAUUUGAUGGUUCAGUGGAAGGUUAUUAAUAAUUUAAACAGUUGGCUAUUUGGCUGGCUGUGAAAAUCUUCUUAGGUAGAAGUUAGCUUGAUCAGAAGAUUAGCUUUCUGAGUAUUCCUUCUCAGGAAGGUGGGCAGACUCCUAAGUUGGGCCCUGUGAUUCUUGCAUCCUGGUACUCAAGUUUUAUUCACUCAAAUUCAUUUGAAAAUUAGAGGUAAUAAAACUUGAAUCUAUUCCAACCAUAUGAUGAUGGAAAUAAUAUUGGUGUGAUUAUGUUUAAAGAUUCCAUUACAUAACACUGCAAAAACCAUCUUGGUAGAAGGAUCCAUUGUCCAUGUUGGCUUGAAGAAGCAAACUCUAGAUGAGUUGCCUUCACUGAGAAACCCAUGUUGCAAGGAUCAGAAUGCAGCUCCUAGAAACAGAGAAGUGCUUCCAGUCAACAGCUAGGAAGAUGUUGAAAACUUGAGGCAUACAGUUGAAAGAAGUUGCAUUCUCACCACCUAAUUGAAUCUUCCCCUAGAAGAACUGGGAUGAGUACGCUGCCCUGGCCAACACCUUGACUGUGCAGUUUGGGUAACCUGAAACAGAGGAAACUAGCUAAACAAUGUUUAGACUACUGUCUAUCAGAAAUUGACAAGUUAAAUAUAUUGUGGAGGGAGCACAUUUUUGGCUAAUAAGAUUGUGGUAAUUUGUAAUGUAACAAUAGAAAAAAAAAUCUCUCAGAAUCACAAUAUUUUAUAACUCACAUCCAGUGCUUGGACUAGUUUUCUCACGUAAUUUGUCCUUUUUUUAUCUUUGUUCAUUGUGGAAGUCUUAUUCUGGUGCUAGUAUUUCUCCAUGAAUGAAAUAAGAUACCCUUUUCCCAUGUUUAUACUUUCAUAUAUUCCUUUUAAAGAGUGAAUUUAUAUUGUUAACUUUUCAUGAAAACAUUUAAUCAAGUACAAUGACUGCUCAUUACAUUAUAUGUUGUUUGGAUAUGUGGUAUCUCAUAAAUGCUUAUGUGCAAGAUGAUAUAAGAACAUUCAGGGGUGAGAUAAUUGGAUUAUGCAAGUUGUAACCCAGAAAUAAUAGGGAAGAUGGCUUGAGAGCAUUUCAGGCAUUAGAAAGACCAUAUUCAUCACAGGCUCAAGGAUAUAAAAGUAAAAAUUUCUUUAAAAAGAGAUCAUGGGGACUCUCUGCAUGCACAAGGGACCAACAAUGUCAUUCCACUGUGUUCAGCUAACCUUGCAGCUAUGGUCCCAGAAGACGGAUAUUGCUCAAAACAGGUGCAGACCUUGUGCAUUUACCAUGUGGGGCUGGAUCUAUAGGAAUGCAAGAUACAUUAGGUGGUCCUAGAAGCUUCCAUUGAGAUAUGAAAAAAAAAGGCUUCGAGGUCAGGCAAAGUGUAGCAGGGUCAUAGAUCCAGAGGGUUUCCCCUGAGAGGGUGAUAUGUGAAGAUUUGAAAAGGAAGCUGCAGCUGCAGCAGAGAACCUGAGAAUAAGAUACAGGAGCAGCUUGGGAUGUCUGCUGAGGACAGCUGCAGGAAUUGAACAGAAACAAGUGAAGAGAGGCCACGUGAUCUGCAACCACCAAAACCACAGGGGAGAAGCUACAUAGUCUUUUGGAGAGAACAUUAUGAUGCCUUGAGCCACAAAUGUUGGAUGAGGAACCACAAGACAAUUUUGUUCAGGUGUAUUUCAAUUUUGCUUUGUUCCCAUACCUUCUUUCUUCUUUCUUUAGCCCUAGUUCUUCCUUGGGGAAUAGAAGCAUUUACUGUGCACCAUUAUAUUUUGAAUACCUGUAAUUGCUUUUGAUCUUUACUUUCACUUCUGAGAGUUUGCUUUGAGUCUCAGAUUAAAUUAUGGUUAGAACUUUUGGGAAACACUUGAAGUGUUCAGACUAUGAAGACUCCUGAAAAUGGACUAAAUGUAUUUUGUAUUGUAAGAUGGGCAUAAAAUUUUGGGAAGCCAAGGAAAGGAUGUUAUGAUUUGGAUAUUUGGUGUCCCCAAAACAUAUUUGUAAGAUAUAUUUGUAAGAACUAAGAACGUUCAGAGAUAAAAAGAUUUGAUUAUGAGAGUUGUGAUCGAAUCAGUGGACUGAUUUCCUGGUAUGGAUUAACUGGGUGAUAUCUGUAGAGAGGUUGUGGCUAGAAGAGGUAGGUCACUGGGACCAUGCCUGUAGGUUAUUUUUUUAUUGUCUCUGGCAAGCUUAGAUCUCACUCUACUUCUGGAAUUAUGUUUUGAAAUGUUUUCUUCCACCAUGAUAUUCUGCCUCUUAUUAGGCCCAAAGCUAUGUAGUCAGCAGAUCUUGGUCUUAAACUCUUAAACUAUGAGUCAAAAUAAACUUUUCUCCCUCUACAUUAUUCAUGUCAGAACUUUUUGUAACUGCAAUGAAAAAGCUAAAACAUUGUAUUUCAAAGCAUACUAUAGUUAUUUUAGUACAAUAAAUUAUCUCUCUUGUUGUUGCUAG